GCUCCGGUGACCCAGCGGUUAGAGCGUCAGCCUUGGAUGCGGGAGGUCGCGGGGUCGAACCCCGGCCAAACCA